GGGUUGUGAGGUUAAGCGACUAAGCGUACACGGUGGAUGCCCUGGCAGUCAGAGGCGAUGAAGGACGUGCUAAUCUGCGAUAAGCGCCGGUAAGGUGAUAUGAACCGUUAUAACCGGCGAUUUCCGAAUGGGGAAACCCAGUGUGACUCGUCACACUAUCAUUAACUGAAUCCAUAGGUUAAUGAGGCGAACCGGGGGAACUGAAACAUCUAAGUACCCCGAGGAAAAGAAAUCAACCGAGAUUCCCCCAGUAGCGGCGAGCGAACGGGGAGGAGCCCAGAGCCUGAAUCAGCAUGUGUGUUAGUGGAAGCGUCUGGAAAGGCGCGCGAUACAGGGUGACAGCCCCGUACACAAAAGCGCAUGUGCUGUGAGCUCGAUGAGUAGGGCGGGACACGUGGUAUCCUGUCUGAAUAUGGGGGGACCAUCCUCCAAGGCUAAAUACUCCUGACUGACCGAUAGUGAACCAGUACCGUGAGGGAAAGGCGAAAAGAACCCCGGCGAGGGGAGUGAAAAAGAACCUGAAACCGUGUACGUACAAGCAGUGGGAGCACAGGUUUACCUGUGUGACUGCGUACCUUUUGUAUAAUGGGUCAGCGACUUAUAUUCUGUAGCAAGGUUAACCGAAUAGGGGAGCCGGAGGGAAACCGAGUCUUAACCGGGCGUUAAGUUGCAGGGUAUAGACCCGAAACCCGGUGAUCUAGCCAUGGGCAGGUUGAAGGUUGGGUAACACUAACUGGAGGACCGAACCGACUAAUGUUGAAAAAUUAGCGGAUGACCUGUGGCUGGGGGUGAAAGGCCAAUCAAACCGGGAGAUAGCUGGUUCUCCCCGAAAGCUAUUUAGGUAGCGCCUCGUGAAUUCAUCUCCGGGGGUAGAGCACUGUUUCGGCUAGGGGGCCAUCCCGGCUUACCAACCCGAUGCAAACUGCGAAUACCGGAGAAUGUUAUCACGGGAGACACACGGCGGGUGCUAACGUCCGUCGUGAAGAGGGAAACAACCCAGACCGCCAGCUAAGGUCCCAAAGUCAUGGUUAAGUGGGAAACGAUGUGGGAAGGCCCAGACAGCCAGGAUGUUGGCUUAGAAGCAGCCAUCAUUUAAAGAAAGCGUAAUAGCUCACUGGUCGAGUCGGCCUGCGCGGAAGAUGUAACGGGGCUAAACCAUGCACCGAAGCUGCGGCAGCGAACGUAUCACCCAAGACAACUUUACGGAGUUGACGAUUGACGGAGCGAAGCGACGUCAAAGCGUUCAUUAAAGUCGAGUUGGCUUAGGGAUACGUUCGUUGGGUAGGGGAGCGUUCUGUAAGCCUGUGAAGGUGGCCUGUGAGGGUUGCU
rnacentral:rRNA from 1 species